rnacentral:rRNA from 1 species
GGACUACCCGGGUUUCUAAUCCUGUUCGCUCCCCAUGCUUUCGCUUCUCAGCGUCAGUAGUGGCCCAGAGACCUGCCUUCGCCAUCGGUGUUCCUCCUGAUAUCUGCGCAUUUCACCGCUACACCAGGAAUUCCAGUCUCCCCUACCACACUCUAGUCUGCCCGUACCCACUGCAAGUCCGGGGUUGAGCCCCGGAUUUUCACAGCAGACGCGACAAACCGCCUACAAGCUCUUUACGCCCAAUAAUUCCGGACAACGCUCGCACCCUACGUAUUACCGCGGCGGCUGGCAC